UGGGGAAUAUUGGACAAUGGGCGCAAGCCUGAUCCAGCCAUGCCGCGUGGAUGAUGAAGGCCCUAGGGUUGUAAAGUCCUUUCGACGGGGAAGAUAAUGACGGUACCCGUAGAAGAAGCCCCGGCUAACUUCGUGCCAGCAGCCGCGGUAAUACGAAGGGGGCUAGCGUUGCUCGGAAUCACUGGGCGUAAAGCGCACGUAGGCGGACUCUUAAGUCGGUGGUGAAAUCCUGGAGCUCAACUCCAGAACUGCCUUCGAUACUGAGAGUCUCGAGUCCGAGAGAGGUGAGUGGAACUGCGAGUGUAGAGGUGAAAUGCGUAGAUAUCAAGAGGAACACCUGAGGUGAAGACGGGUUGCUGGGCUGACACUGACGCUGAGGCGCGAAAGCCAGGGGAGCAAACGGGAUUAGAUACCCCUGUAGUCCCUGAGCGGGCUGGCAAGGCGCAU
rnacentral:rRNA from 1 species